GCAAGUCAUUGGGAUUUAUUUUAUAAACCUAAUGGCGUAAUUAACUUGACUACCAAUACAAAUUGGGAUUAGUUUUAAAUUUUUAUAUAGUUUAUUAAAUUCAAUCCCGGGGCGCUCUAUAUAGUUAUGUAUAAUAAUAUUUAUUUAUUUAUACCUCUAACUGGAACUUACCUUGAGCAUAUAUGCUGUGACCCGAAAGAUGGUGAACUAUACUUGAUCAGGUUGAAGUCAGGGAAACCCUGAUGGAAGACCGAAACAGUUCUUGACGUGCAAAUCGAUUGUCAGAAUUGAGUAUAGGGGCGAAAGACCAAUCGAACCAUCUAGUAGCUGGUUCCUUCCGAAGUUUCCCUCAGGAUAGCUGGUGCAUUUAUAUAUUGCAUAAAAUAAUCUUAUCUGGUAAAGCGAAUGAUUAGAGGCCUUAGGUGUCGAAACGAUCUUAACCUAUUCUCAAACUUUAAAUGGGUAAGAACCUUAACUUUCUUGAAAUGAAGUUUAAGGUUAUGAUAUAAUGUGCCCAGUGGGCCACUUUUGGUAAGCAGAACUGGCGCUGUGGGAUGAAACCAAACGUAAUGUUACGGUGCCCAAUUAACAACUCAUGCAGAUACCAUGAAAGGCGUUGGUUGCUUCAAACAGCAGGACGGUGGACAUGGAAGUCGUAAUCCGCUAAGGAGUGUGUAACAACUCACCUGCCGAAGCAACUAGCCCUUAAAAUGGAUGGCGCUUAAGUUGUAUACCUAUACAUUACCGCUAAGUUAAAUGAUUCAUAUUUAUAUAAAAAUAUAAAUUUUGAAACUUUAGUGAGUAGGAAGGUACAAUGGUGUGCGUAAAGUGUUUGGCGUAAGCCCUGCAUGGAGCCGCCAUUGGUACAGAUCUUGGUGGUAGUAGCAAAUAAUCGAAUGAGACCUUGGAGGACUGAAGUGGAGAAGGGUUUCGUGUGAACAGUGGUUGAUCACGAGUUAGUCGGUCCUAAGUUCAAGGCGAAAGCCGAAAAUUUUUCAAGUAAAAAUAUAUAUAUAUAUCCAAACACCUACAUAUUAUUAUUGAUACACUUGAAUAAUUUUGAACGAAAGGGAAUACGUUUCCAAUUCCGUAACCUGUUUGAGUAUCCGUUUGUUAUUAAAUAUGGGCCUUGUGCUCAUCCUGGCAACAGGAACGACCAUAAAGAAGCCGUCGGAGAUAUCGGAAGAGUUUUCUUUUCUGUUUUAAUAGCCGUACUACCAUGAAGUUUUCGCAGAGAGAUAUGGUAGAUGGGCUAGAAGAGCAUGACAUAUACUGUUGUGUCGAUAUUUUCUCCCUCGGACCUUGAAAAUUUAUGGUGGGGACACGCAAACUUCUCAACAGGCCGUACCAAUAUCCGCAGCUGGUCUCCAAGGUGAAGAGUCUCUAGUCGAUGGAAUAAUGUAGGUAGGGAAGUCGGCAAAUUAGAUCCGUAACUUCGGGAUAAGGAUUGGCUCUGAAGAUUGAGAUAAUCGGGCUUGAUUGGGAAACAAUAACAUGGUUUUGUUCUCGUUCUGGGUAAAUAGAAUUUCGAUUAUUUUAAUGAUCGUCAUUUGUUCCCCGGAUUGUUAGUUACGUAGCCAAUUGUGGAACUUUCUUGCUAAAAUUUUUAAGAAUACUAAUCUGGAGUGGUUAACCUUUCAGUUUUAGCUCUUUAAAUUAUAACGAUUAUCAAUUAACAAUCAAUUCAGAACUGGCACGGACUUGGGGACCGACUGUCUAUCAAAACAAAGCAUUGUGAUGGCCCUAGCGGGUGUUGACACAAUGUGAUUUCUGCCCAGUGCUCUGAAUGUCAACGUGAAGAAAUUCAAGUAAGACGCGGGUCAACGCGGGAGUAACUAUGACUCUCUUAAGGUAGCCAAAUGCCUCGUCAUCUAAUUAGUGACGCGCAUGAAUGGAUUAACGAGAUUCCUACUGUCCCUAUCUACUAUCUAGCGAAACCACAGCCAAGGGAACGGGCUUGGAAUAAUUAGCGGGGAAAGAAGACCCUUUUGAGCUUGACUCUAAUCUGGCAGUGUAAGGAGACAUAAGAGGUGUAGAAUAAGUGGGGAGAUAUUAGAUUUCGGUUUAGUAUCGCCAAUGAAAUACCACUACUCUUAUUGUUUCCUUACUUACUGAUUAAAUGGAACGUGUAUCAUUUCCUAGCCAUUAUAACGGAUAUAUUUUUAAUAUCUUAUGGUAUUGGGUUUUGAUGCAAGCUUCUUGAUCAAAGUAUCAUGAGUUUGUUAUAUAAUUGCAAACAAAUCUAAUAAUGAGAGAUGCGCAUUUAUGUGUAUUUUCAAUUUAUGAAUUUGGUAUAACUCCAAUUACUCCGGUAUGAUCCAAUUCAAGGACAUUGCCAGGUAGGGAGUUUGACUGGGGCGGUACAUCUCUCAAUAAUAACGGAGGUGUCCCAAGCCAGCUCAGUGCGACAGAAACCACACAUAGAGCAAAAGGGCAAAAGCUGACUUGAUCUCGGUGUCCAGUACACACAGGGACAGCAAAAGCUCGGCCUAUCGAUCCUUUUGGUUUAAAGAGUUUUUAACAAGAGGUGUCAGAAAAGUUACCAUAGGGGAUAACUGGCUUGUGGCGGCCAAGCGUUCAUAGCGACGUCGCUUUUUGAUCCUUCGAUGUCGGCUCUUCCUAUCAUUGUGAAGCAAAUUCACCAAGCGUUGGAUUGUUCACCCAUGCAAGGGAACGUGAGCUGGGUUUAGACCGUCGUGAGACAGGUUAGUUUUACCCUACUAAUGACAAAAACGUUGUUGCGACAGCAUUCCUGCGUAGUACGAGAGGAACCGCAGGUACGGACCUAUGGCACAAUACUUGUUCGAGCGAACAGUGGUAUGACGCUACGUCGUCGUUCCGUUGGAUUAUGCCUGAACGCCUCUAAGGCGUAUCCGUGCUGGACUGCAAUGAUAAAAUGGGGCAAUUUGCAUUGUAUGGCUUCUAAAUCAUUAAAAGUUUAUAUGCAUUUAUAAACGACAAUGAAUAUGUGAUGCCAAUGUUAUGAGUAACAUAGUUAACUUUGGAGGAUCUUCGAUCACCUGGUGCCAAUGCUAGUUACUUAUUAAAACAUUAUUUAAUACAAUGACAAGCCU
rnacentral:rRNA from 1 species